UGCCAGCCGCCGCGGUAAAACGUAGGAGGCGAGCGUUAUCCGGAUUUACUGGGUGUAAAGCGCGUGCAGGCGGCUUCGUAAGUUGUGCGUGAAAGCGCUCUGGCUCAACCGGGCGAGGACGUGCAAAACUGCGGAGCUAGAGAUAGGUAGAGGUAUGUGGAAUUCCGGGUGUAGUGGUGAAAUGCGUAGAGAUCCGGAGGAACACCAGUGGCGAAGGCGACAUACUGGACCUUAUCUGACGCUAAGACGCGAAAGCAUGGGUAGCGAACGGGAUUAGAUA
rnacentral:rRNA from 1 species